GCUCCUUCAACAACAACAGCUAGUCAGACACCUCGGUAGCUUUCUAGCAAACACAGCUACAACAUUCACGCUCUUUACACUGUUUUGGUGUAUAUUAGGCGCUGCGUAUUAAACACACUUCUGUCGUAUGUACUUGUUGGCUGGUUAAGUUAGCAUUAGCCUAGCUAGCUAACAUCUCCGACCAUGAGUUCACUAAGCUACUCUCCUCCUGAUAAAGGGGAGGUCUGCUGGACAGAGAAAGAAGCUCUCGUCAAAGAGGAGGACGAACAGGAGGCUGUUACAAUAAAACAAGAAGUAGAGAAUGAGGCUGUUACCCUGAAAGAAGAAGAGAAAGACGUUACAGUGAGAGAAGAGGUGCUGGCUAGCCGAGUAGAACACCUGUUUAGGAGAGGUGCUGGCUAGCAGAGUAGAACACCUGUUUAGGAGAGGUGCUGGCUAGCAGAGUAGAACACCUGUUUAGGAGAGGUGCUGGCUAGCAGAGUAGAACACCUGUUUAGGAGAGGUGCUGGCUAACAGAGUAGAACACCUGUUUAGGAGAGGUGCUGGCUAGCAGAGUAGAACACCUGUUUAGGAGAGGUGCUGGCUAGCGGAGUAGGAUCAUUCGAGGAGCUAGCCAUCGUUCACACAUACAAUAGCCUGCUAAUACCUUAGCUAGCUUUUAACCACAUGUUGAAUUCAGAAUGUUGAUAUCAUCCUAAAAAGUACAAUUACAUCUUAACAAUACCAUCCACUUAUGAGUAACCUCUAAAUAUACAACAUUAUUCAUGAACAAAACAGUGUGUAUGACUUUGUGCUUAAAAUAAUCAAACUUUUCUGAAGAUGACAGAUAAAGCGUACCUUGUAACUGGAGAUUCCUGCAAAACGAUUGCCUACAGUUACCGUGUAGGGCACUGCAAGGUUGGGUGACCAGGGUCAUCUGGGACUGCCUCCUGGAGGAAUUCAGAUGUGUGAAGGCUACCUGUGUCCUGCGUAACUUCAUGAGGAUGGACACGAGGACCAGGAGGGGAUCUGCAGCUCGCCGCCGUGUCCCAGAGGAGGAGUCUGCUGCUCUGCAGGAUGUUUCAAGGAUGGGGUCCAACAACGCAGCAAGAGAGGCAAUCCGUGUGCAGGAGAUCUUCACCUCCUACUUCUUCAAAGAGGGUGCUGUUCCCUGGCAACACCAUAGACUACACUAUGCACAACCAAAGGCUAUUUUAAGAGGGUGCUGUUCCCUGGCAACACCAUAGACUACACUAUGCUCAACCAAAGGCUCUUUUAAGAGGGUACUGUUCCCUGGCAACACCAUAGACUACACUAUGCACAACCAAAGGUUCUUUUAAGAGCCAUCCACAUUACAAUAAGAGUAUUCUUCCAUUUACUUAGCUAUGUCAACUGCAGUUAUUCAAUUCACAGUUUCUCUCCCUUUGAUUUCUACUUCUCAGGUGAGGGUGCUGUUUAGGUAAGGGUAUGAUGUCUGUGCAAAAACAAAACAGGCUAUUUUAAAUCACCCAUAUUGAAAAAAUGUAGAACAAUUAGACACCCUAUAACCCACACCUACACACUCAUGUAUCAAUCUGAUUGAUUGAUGGAUUGUGUUGUGCAGUAAGCAGUCUCAAGUGUAUAACUGUGGCUCCUUCUACCUUCAAAGAAUAGGCAAGAGGGCCAACCAUGGAGAAUAGUAAGACACUUCAUUAUUUCUAUAACUACGCUAUAUUGUUUGUCCUUGUGUGUCCGUUCAUGUUUUUCAGCAUAUAGUACUCUGCAGCCACUUAGUGUGGUGUGGACACCAGGUGAGGCCACACACAGAUUCCUGUUGAACACUGUGGCUUUAACUACCUUAUUUUCUCAAUAACAGUCUCUAUCCUUCACUUCAUCCCUCUCUCCCCUUCUCCCUAAAUCCUCUAGGUUAUAUCAGCUGUGUCGGUGAACCUCUCCUGCAUCUGAACUGGCUACAUAGAGUGCACAGCAUGAUCAGAGAUAUGUUUUGAUGUGAGGAUGCCAACCCCCAGUAACCCCCAGUCCCAUCAUCACCACCUCACCCUCUUUUAAGAUAACCUGUGGGCUGACUAGAGACACUGUUAUGUAAUUGUGAUGAACUGAGAGAAUAUUUAUGUAGCACUGUGAUUCAUUAAUCAUGUGCUGCCUUCCCUGCUCCUAUGUGCUUACCUCUUUCCCUUUCUGUCUUUAACACCUCUCUCUCCACCUCCUCUUUCUUCCUCUGUUUUUAUAAUGCACAACAGAUGUGCAUUGAAGUACAGAUUGAACUUGUAUUUAUAUCACUUGGAUAAUGAGCUUUUCAAUAAAGUGUUUCACAUUCUCUACUGGUUGAAAUGAAGUGUAAUGUGAUGAAAUACUCCACCUAUCCUGUGUUUAUCAGAUCAAUGCAGAUGAAGGGCAUUAGAUGUUGAGAUGAACCGGUGUUGGAGUAUUUACAUGAUGCAUAGGAAGUGUAGUGUACUGUUUUUUAACAUUGUUUCUGUAUAUAUGAAUUAACUAGUUAAAUCCUGUUUCUAGUCUAUUAGUUACAAUGUGUAACCAUUGAUGUCCCAGGACCAAGAUUGGUAAACACUGUUGAAGUGUACAAUUAUGAUACAUACAUGCAGACACAGCGUCAUUCAAAGACUGGAAUUUGAUACUCCUGGUAUUGGAUAUGACUGAAAAAUAAUCUCUAAGACAUUCAUACCUAAACUGCACCUUUAUUUGCCAAGGUAGAGUACAUGAUCAGUGAAUAUAUUAAAUGUACAGGCUACAAUGUGGGGAUCUCAUGCAUGGUAAUAACUA